rnacentral:misc_RNA from 1 species
AAAUGUUUCAAUCAAAUUUGUGUGUGUGUGAAGUAACAUAAUUGUUUUUUUUUAAUGAUAAUUAUGAUAUUGAUGAAAAACUCAUAUUUUCUUUUAUUGUCAAGUGUGCUAUAAAAAUAAAAUGAAAGUAAAAAUUGUAGGAUAAUAAGAGUAAAAUUGUAUUUUUAAUCAUAAACAAAACAGGUUGUAAUAGGUUUAAAUGGCUCAAAAUAAAACAGGUUAAUUUGUUAACCUGGUUAAAUGAACGGGUUAUUACUUGUUUUAUUGGAUUAAACGAGUCAACCCAUUUAAAUCCUUUUCGCGUGCAUAAAUGGAUUGACUCAUUGAUGACCCGAACCUGUUUAUGCUAAAUGCAAACCCAAAAAUUGCCAGCUUUAAUGUUAGUCUUUGUGUAUCUUCUUUGGUUUAUGUGGACAUAAUUUGCAGUACUCUCUAUCUCUCUCUCUUUUUCUCUCGCACAUGCGCACAUGGGUUUGUGUUUGUGAAUUUGCCAACAUAUGUUGUUGUAGAAGUUCAACUAAUAUAUUGAAGGCUUGUUGUAGUCCUGGUCGAUAUUUGUUUUCACAGUUCUUUUGGUUUUUCAUUUUUCCCUAGAGUAAUCUUGUCAGAAGAUAUCCAGACUUAGGUUUGAUGCUCUGAUGCUUCAAAUCAAUGGCAUAAUCUAUGAAAAGUUGGAAACUUUUGGAGCUUGACUGCAGAUUCCUUAUUUAUACUUGAGUUUGAGUGACAUUGUGCUGUUGAUUAUCUCCAUCGUUCAGUGGUUGAUGGGGUGGUGACCCAGAAUCAAGCAAAGCUGAUGGAACUUUGGACAUUGAGACCUGCACCAAAUGUCCUAUGACAGCUUAUGCUUGCAUCAUCUGGUUGGCAUGUGUUGAGAUUUGUGUUCUUGUUUGAAAACAUGUGGCAUUUUCAUGAUCUUCAAAUCCAUGACCUCUUCUGCUGUGAUGAAUAAUUCUGUUUUGUGGUUAUAUUGGUUGCAUUAUUGUUAGUAGUACAUGUAAAGUUUUAUGAGAUUUUCCUCUCUUUGAAACUUACAAGUUCAUUCAACAUAUGGAGACUUCAAUUAUGCUAACCUUGCUCUUUCUCUCCUCCCCACCUUUUUAACCAUAUAAAUGCAGAAAGUGCAUACUCAAAUAUUCCA